rnacentral:rRNA from 1 species
AGUGAACGCUGGCGGCAUGCCUAACACAUGCAAGUCGAACGGCCACACAGUAAGAUCUUGCUCUUACGGGUGGCGACUGGCGGAUGGGUGAGGCAUACAUCGGAAUCUACUUUUUCUUGGGUGAUAACGUAGGGCCACUUACGCUAAUACCUCAUAUGACCUACGGGUGAAAGCAGUGGAUCUUCGGACCUUUCCCGAUUGUAUGAGCCGAUGUCGGAUUAGCUAGUUGGCGGGGUAAAGGCCCACCAAGGCGACGAUCCGUAGCUGAUCUGAGAGGAUGAUCAGCCACACUGGAACUGAGACACGGUCCAGACUCCUACGGGAGGCAGCAGUGGGGAAUCUUGGACAAUGGGCGAAAGCCUGAUGCAGCCAUGCCGCGUGAGUGAUGAAGGCCUUCGGAUUGUAAAGCCCUUUUGUUGGGAAAGAAAAGCAGCAGAUGAAUACCUCGAUGUUUUGACGGUACCCAAAGAAAAAGCACCGGCUAACUUCGUG